ensembl:misc_RNA 7SK 7SK RNA
GGAUGUGAAGGAGAUGUGAUUGCAAGUGUUGAUUCUGCUCAUCUGGCUGAUUAGGUGUGUGUUCCCUUCCUUUCUCACUGCUCCAUUUGCAUUCCUCCUGAAGGUGGUGCUCUGUCAAAGAUGGUCUUCCUUGAAAAGAGAUGGAUCUGUCUUCAGUGGGGGUUAUAUGAAUAGUUGCAAUCCCUUGUAGAACCUACAAACAAGCUCUCAAAUAUAGACAUACAGACAAAUAGGAUAGAAUUGAGAAGUCAGAAGUAAAGCUAUGAGUGCACAGGUUU